ACGACGCUGGCGGCGUGCCUAACACAUGCAAGUCGAGCGGGGUUGAAGCGAGAGGUAACUCGAACUUCUACCUAGCGGCGGACGGGUGAGUAACGCGUGGGCAACCUGCCUCAAGGUUUGGGAUAACAGCCCGAAAGGGCUGCUAAUACCGGAUAUGCCUAUGGCCUCGCAUGGGGCUAUGAGCAAAGGGGAAACCCGCCUUGAGAUGGGCCCGCGUCCCAUCAGCUAGUUGGUGAGGUAACAGCUCACCAAGGCGACGACGGGUAGCCGGCCUGAGAGGGUGACCGGCCACACUGGGACUGAGACACGGCCCAGACUCCUACGGGGGGCAGCAGUGGGGGAUCUUGCACAAUGGGCGAAAGCCUGAUGCAGCGACGCCGCGUGAACGAAGAAGCCCUUCGGGGUGUAAAGUUCUUUUAUAUGUGAGCAGUGACACCCAUAUUAAUAGUAUGGGUGUAGAGAUAUUAGCAUAUGAAUAAGCAACGGCUAACUCCGUG
rnacentral:rRNA from 1 species